UAUAACGUGCGCACGAAAUACUAAUUGAUAAUAUUAAUAUCAUUCCUGGACCAAAUCGAGCGCGUCUUCUCUAGAACCUUCUGUAGCCUACGUACGGAGCCCCGUACCUGCGUGAUGUCAUUAAGGAGCUGCAGCCCUGCACACACAUCAGGAUACUUUUCAAGUAGAGCUGAGGGGUGUAUACAUACUACUAAGCAAGAGGGCAACUAUGGAUACUCGGCUGCGAGAAUUUUUAAUGGAGCGCAAACUUGAAGAAGAUGUGAUCCAGAAACUUGAAGAUGAGAAUAUUGAUGAAACUGUCAUUCCUUUAAUGACAGACAGUGACCUGGCAAAGUACAUCCCCAAAGUUGGAGAUAGAGUCUCCACUGUGGCCUUCUGCAGACAAGCAACACUGUCACAAAAAUCACCAUCAAGGAAAGAAUCCAUACUCUCAAGGCUACGACAAAGACUGUCUGGAGCUGAGGCGAUGCCUCCAAAAAAGAGAUCAUCUAAGUGGGCGGAAAAUACAAAUGCCAAACGGAAAGUGAGACGAAUUGAGGUUGGCUGGAUGGAUUUUGAUGAGGAGAAGGAGAGGUACAAACAGGUGAAGUCUGUCAGUGGUGGAGGCACGAGGCAUCUGUCUAUUGACAAAGACGAAACAGUGGUAAAUAUCAAACUUAUGGCUGAAAAUCUUUUUUUCCCCAAUGGCCUUUCAAAAAAAAACAAAAGUCUUUCACACUAUUCAACUCAUAUUGAGAGCUCACAGAUACAUGUUGAUGUGUC